rnacentral:rRNA from 1 species
GACGAACGCUGGCGGCGUGCUUAACACAUGCAAGUCGAACGGAAAGGCCCUGCUUUUGUGGGGUGCUCGAGUGGCGAACGGGUGAGUAACACGUGAGUAACCUGCCCUUGACUUUGGGAUAACUUCAGGAAACUGGGGCUAAUACCGGAUAGGAGCUCCUGCUGCAUGGUGGGGGUUGGAAAGUUUCGGCGGUUGGGGAUGGACUCGCGGCUUAUCAGCUUGUUGGUGGGGUAGUGGCUUACCAAGGCUUUGACGGGUAGCCGGCCUGAGAGGGUGACCGGCCACAUUGGUACUGAGAUACGGCCCAGACUCCUACGGGAGGCAGCAGUGGGGAAUAUUGCACAAUGGGCGGAGGCCUGAUGCAGCAACGCCGCGUGCGGGAUGACGGCCUUCGGGGUGUAGAGCGCUUUCGCCUGUGACGAAGCGUGAGUGACGGUAAUGGGUAAAGAAGCACCGGCUAACUACGUG